rnacentral:rRNA from 1 species
ACUCAAAGGAAUAGACGGGGACCCGCACAAGCGGUGGAGCAUGUGGUUUAAUUCGACGCAACGCGAAGAACCUUACCAGGGCUUGACAUCGAGUGAAAGGUCAAGAGAUUGACCCCUCUCUUCGGAGACACGAAGACAGGUGGUGCAUGGUUGUCGUCAGCUCGUGUCGUGAGAUGUUGGGUUAAGUCCCGCAACGAGCGCAACCCCUAUUGUCAGUUACUAACGGAUAAUGCCGAGGACUCUGGCGAGACUGCCGUUGACAAAACGGAGGAAGGUGGGGAUGACGUCAAAUCAUCAUGCCCCUUAUGUCCUGGGCUACACACGUGCUACAAUGGCCGGUACAGAGGGAAGCGAAGCCGCGAGGUGGAGCAAAUCCCAAAAAGCCGGUCUCAGUUCGGAUUGUAGUCUGCAACUCGACUACAUGAAGUCGGAAUCGCUAGUAAUCGCAGGUCAGCACACUGCGGUGAAUACGUUCCCGGGUCUUGUACACACCGCCCGU